GUACACGCUGUGACUAGCAUAUCAAUAAGCGGAGGAAAAGAGACUAACAAGGAUUCCCCUAGUAACGGCGAGUGGAGCGGGAAGAGCUCAAAUUUGAAAUCUUAAAGGGUUUCCCUUUACGAAUUGUAGUUUAAAGAAGUGUUUUCUGUUGAGGUUUUGGUAAAAGUUCUUUGGAAUAGGACAUCAUAGAGGGUGAGAAUCCCGUAUUCGACCUUUACUUUCAACUUUGUGAUACACUUUCAAAGAGUCGGAUUGUUUGGGAAUGCAGUCCAAAAUGGGUGGUAAAUUUCAUCUAAAGCUAAAUAUUGGCGAGAGACCGAUAGCGAACAAGUACCGUGAGGGAAAGAUGAAAAGAACUUUGAAAAGAGAGUUAAACAGUACGUGAAAUUGUCAAAAGGGAAGCGUUUGACACCAGUGUUGUUUCUCUGAAAAUCAAUUAAAGAACUGUUUACUGCUAAGCUGUUUAGACUUUAUCAGCUAAUCUGUUUAGUUUUGAGCUUUUCUUUAAUGCACUUUUCAGUUAACAAGUCAACAUCAAUUUCUUUUGCUGUAAAAAAGCUUGAGGAAGGUGGCUUGAGAUUCGUCUUAAGUGUUUAUAGCCUCUUGCCUAUGCAGUCGGAGAGAUUGAGGUCUGCAGCGUAGAUCCUUCGGGGCUAAAUGCAUUUGUGCUAAGUUAUAGCAUUUUAUAGACAACUUGUUGACUAUGAUUUGUCUUGUAGCUUACUCGCUUAUGUUAUUUUACCUACGCUUAGGAUGUUGAAGAUGUAGCACAUCAU
rnacentral:rRNA from 1 species